CUGUAGGGAUCUCAGCAAGGGUGGGAGAACCAGUUCCACCUUGGCACAGUGCCAAAAGGAAGGCUUUGAGCAAGUCACCAGCGCUAGGACCUUCUCAUGAGCUUGUAGAAGGGCUGAGCCCUUGGCUAGGGGGGAAGGCCAGUCUUGUGAACAGCAGGCUGUGCUGGGCAUCAAAUCGCAAAAAUCAGACCACGUGACUCCUAAUAUUAACAACGGAUGGGACUUCUCAGAGGACAAGGUGAACUCAAACAGAUCAGCAAGACAGAUCCAAACUACCAGACGCACACAUCACCCCUAACGUUCCGCUGUUUUCUCAGACCCUCUUCUACCUAAUACUCACUUACCAAAGUCAACAUUAAAAGCACCUGAUGACAA
rnacentral:lncRNA from 1 species